rnacentral:lncRNA from 1 species
AAAUUGUGAGAAUCUGAAUAUGCAUUCUGUGAAACUUGAGUGGCCAUUGGGGUAAGAGGGAUGGGGAUUUCAGCGUUCUCGCUGUCUGGUCUGUAACUGUCUUGGCUGUAGGUACCUAGCCUGGAGAAAGUUCUGGAGUUCAAAGCCCAUGAAGGGGAGAUUGGAGAUUUGACUUUGGGUCCUGAUGGCAAGCUGGUUACAGUGGGCUGGGACUUUAAGGCCUCUGUGUGGCAGAAGGAUCAACUGGUGACACAGCUACAGUGGCAAGAGAAUGGACCAGCCUCUUCUAAUACACCAUACCGCUACCAGGCCUGCAGGUGUGCAGGUCACAGGGUGGCUGGCAGGCACACCUCAGCUGGGAAAUGGGAAAAGACAGAAGGAGCUGGCCAUGGCUGGAGCCUUGUUGGAGGUUGUUCCAGGUGUGACCAGGGUGCAGGGCACAAACAUGAGGGCUGACAGGAACUGAAAGCCUUUUGCCUGGCCUCCAGGUUUGGGCAGGUUCCAGAUCAGCUCGGUGGGCUGCGACUCUUCACAGUGCAGAUACCCCACAAGCGCCUACGUCAGCCCCCACCCU